CAGGUCAGCAGGUCCUGGGCUUGGUAGAGAACCAGAGUGACUGGUACCUUGGAAACCUGUGGAAAAAUCACCGCCCUUGGCCAGCCCUUGGAAGGGGUUACAACACAGGGGUGAUCCUGUUGCUUCUGGAUAAGCUACGGAAGAUGAAAUGGGAGCAGAUGUGGAGGCUGACUGCAGAGAGGGAGCUCAUGGGCAUGCUGUCCACAUCCUUAGCCGACCAGGAUAUCUUCAAUGCUGUCAUCAAACAAAACCCUUUCCUCGUGUAUCAGCUCCCCUGCUUCUGGAAUGUACAGCUGUCAGACCACACCCGCUCCGAGCAGUGCUACAGAGAUGUGGCUGAUCU